GUAAUAUAUAGUUUUACUGAUCAUAUAAACCACUACAAAGACUUUAUUGAUACAUCACAGGGGCACAAUCCAAAAUAUGGCAUUCAUGAUCAGUAAAACUAUAUAUUACAGAAUGAGCAAUUGGCAUUUUCAACUGAAGAAAGAACAAUUUGUAACUGAAUUUAGCAUUAUCUUUUUGCAUUGCUUGAUUGACAUUCCUCUGUAAACUACAAGUCAUUUGAUUAACAAUUUGGCUGAAGAAAUGUAGCAAGCAAGCUGCCCUCUAUACAAAAUAUUCCACCUGAAAAAUGACAUUAGGGACCACUUUGCUUUCUCAAAGCUAAAAGUUUCAUCUAGGACAUAAGCAAGCUUGCCAAGUAAAAAUCUGGGAAUCUGAGGAACAAUAAUAAUCUCUCAUUGCACCAAAAUUAGUUGUCAAAAUAACUUCUACAACAACCAGAGCAUUCAAACAUUCCACCUUAGGAAUUCAAUCCCUGGGCAGGCUCAUGCUGUCGGUUGAAGGUGCCUUCUUUCCAUCAUAUCGCUGUUUACCGAAAGAGAAUGGAACAUAUCUGUACUUGACCAUGUGCAUUAUUUGUCU
rnacentral:misc_RNA from 1 species